CCUUGGCUGCAACCCCUGCCCCACUCCAGCUCCAGGCAACCACCCACCUGCUUACUGUCCUAUAGAUUUGUUUCUAGAAUUUCGUUUGAAUGGAAAUGCCCUCAGUACAGUGCCUGUUAGGUUCACCCAUUCUUUAUGGCUGAGUGCUGCUCCGUUGUAGGAACACAGAGGCUGUGUAUUCGCUCUCCCGCUGGCAGUGUGGUGUCCAGUUUGGGAUCCUGCCGCAGGGUUUCUUUGUACAAAUAGCACAGGAGGACACCAGCCCCACGCAGACAGAAGUCCAGGGUCCCGCCCGUCCUCCUGUCCUCAUGCUGGCAGAUAGGAGCCUCUACACUGGAGCCUUUGCGGGGGCCUGGGAACCUUUGGGAGCCUGAGCCACAGCAGGGGCUGGAGCUGGAGUCACAGCUGCAGUCUGGCCCUUGGGCUGAGUCUUGGCCUUGGCCUUUGGCCGGCAGAGCCUGAGACCCUUGGCAACGAACGCUGUGAGAGCAUGUUUCCCAAGCUUGGGAGUGGCUGUGUCAUUCCCACUCCUGCCACAACACAAGAGAGUUCCAGUUACUUUGCUACCACAGCCACAUUAAAUCAACUUAAUUUGGAUUCUCAGCUCUCACCCUGCUUGGAGAGAGGAAGGUUGUCCUCUCCCCUGUGGAGGUGCAUCUGGAGCCGAAGGCGCGGACAGACUCAGCACAGAGACAGCACAUCUGGCCGGGUUGAGAACCAUCUGCAGUGGCCACUUGACUCCAAGCCCCUGCUGUCCAUCCUGCAGAGCCAUGAGCAGUAGCCCACUUGAGAAAGGGACAUCUCUUAAGUGCACUUGCUUGCCACUGGCCACAUUCCCCACCCUGAAAGUGGGGCUCUGGGGUGAGAGGUUCUUGACCUUGAUUCCUGCUCACCGUUAUGAACCAUGUAUUCAGGUUGCAACCCAGAUCUGCUCUGACCAUCUGCUGCUGCAAACAGAAGUCUCAGUGCCUGGCAAACAGGCAGCUGGUACACAUAUUUAUUGAGUAAAGGAAUGAAUGAAAAAUAAAAUAAAAUUGCUGUUGGUGAUUUUA